GUUUGGUGGUUAUAGCGAGAGCAAAGCACCUGGUCCCAUCCCGAACCCAGCCGUUAAGUGCCUUAGCGCCGAUGGUACUGCGUCUUAAGACGUGGGAGAGUAGGUCACCGCCAAACC
rnacentral:rRNA from 1 species